rnacentral:rRNA from 1 species
AUUGAACGCUGGCGGCAGGCCUAACACAUGCAAGUCGAGCGAAUGAAGGGAGCUUGCUCCUGGAUUCAGCGGCGGACGGGUGAGUAAUGCAUAGGAAUCUGCCUGGUAGUGGGGGAUAACGUCCGGAAACGGGCGCUAAUACCGCAUACGUCCUGAGGGAGAAAGUGGGGGAUCUUCGGACCUCACGCUAUCAGAUGAGCCUAGGUCGGAUUAGCUAGUUGGUGGGGUAAAGGCUUACCAAGGCGACGAUCCGUAACUGAUCUGAGAGGCUGAUCAGUCACACUGGAACUGAGACACGGUCCAGACUCCUACGGGAGGCAGCAGUAGGGAAUAUUGGGCAAUGGGCGAAAGCCUGAUGCAGCCAUGCCGCGUGUGUGAAGAAGGUCUUCGGAUUGUAAAGCACUUUAAGUUGGGAGGAAGGGAAGUAAGUUAAUACCUGGCUGUUUUGACGGUACCAACAGAAUAAGCACCGGCUAACUUCGUG